UAGGAAUCUGCCUAUUAGUGGGGGACAACAUUCCGAAAGGAAUGCUAAUACCGCAUACGUCCUACGGGAGAAAGCAGGGGACCUUCGGGCCUUGCGCUAAUAGAUGAGCCUAAGUCGGAUUAGCUAGUUGGUGGGGUAAAGGCCUACCAAGGCGACGAUCUGUAGCGGGUCUGAGAGGAUGAUCCGCCACACUGGGACUGAGACACGGCCCAGACUCCUACGGGAGGCAGCAGUGGGGAAUAUUGGACAAUGGGGGGAACCCUGAUCCAGCCAUGCCGCGUGUGUGAAGAAGGCCUUAUGGUUGUAAAGCACUUUAAGCGAGGAGGAGGCUACUAGUAUUAAUACUACUGGAUAGUGGACGUUACUCGCAGAAUAAGCACCGGCUAACUCUGUGCCAGCAGCCGCGGUAAUACAGAGGGUGCGAGCGUUAAUCGGAUUUACUGGGCGUAAAGCGUGCGUAGGCGGCCAUUUAAGUCAAAUGUGAAAUCCCCGAGCUUAACUUGGGAAUUGCAUUCGAUACUGGAUGGCUAGAGUAUGGGAGAGGAUGGUAGAAUUCCAGGUGUAGCGGUGAAAUGCGUAGAGAUCUGGAGGAAUACCGAUGGCGAAAGGCAGCCAUCUGGCCUAAUACUGACGCUGAGGUACGAAAGCAUGGGGAGCAAACAGGAUUAGAUACCCUGGUAGUCCAUGC
rnacentral:rRNA from 1 species